UACGGGCAACGUUUGCAGGGAGAGCUUCUGUACCAAAGCGGAAGAAACCCCUAAGCGAGGAGGUUGCCGAGUGGCAAAUUCGUUUCUUCAAAUCUCAGGUGGCAUUGUCAGAGAAGAAGCAAAAGCUGGUUGAGACACAGCAACGGGUACUAGAGAAAUAUGAGAGGCGUAUGGACAACGAGGACGUUGACUCUUUCAUAAAAAGCCAAUUUUUCAAUUAAAUUAAAUU